UACUUAGGGUGCAAGCGUUAAUCGGAAUUACUGGGCGUAAAGGGCGCGUAGGCGGGAUGGCAAGUCGGUCGUGAAAUCCUUCGGCUCAACCGAAGAACGUCGGCCGAUACUGCCGUUCUUGAGGGAUGCAGAGGAGAUUGGAAUUCCCGGUGUAGCGGUGAAAUGUGUAGAGAUCGGGAGGAACACCGGUGGCGAAGGCGGGUCUCUGGGCAAUUCCUGACGCUGAGGCGCGAAAGCGUGGGGAGCAAACGGG
rnacentral:rRNA from 1 species